rnacentral:tRNA from 1 species
CAGAAAAUAGUUUAAAUAAAAACAUGAACUUUGGGAGUUUAAGAUAGAUAUUCUUUUUCUGA